UACGGAGGGUGCGAGCGUUGUCCGGAAUUACUGGGCGUAAAGGGCGCGUAGGCGGCCUUCUAAGUCGGACGUGAAAUCCCUCGGCUUAACCGAGGAACUGCGUCCGAUACUGAAAGGCUUGAAUCCGGGAGAGGGAUGUGGAAUUCCAGGUGUAGCGGUGAAAUGCGUAGAUAUCUGGAGGAACACCGGUGGCGAAGGCGGCAUCCUGGACCGGCAUUGACGCUGAGGCGCGAAAGCUAGGGGAGCAAACGGG
rnacentral:rRNA from 1 species